rnacentral:tRNA from 1 species
GGGGCCAUAGCUCAGCUGGGAGAGCGCUUGCAUGGCAUGCAAGAGGUCGUCGGUUCGAUCCCGAUUGGCUCCA